GAUGAACGCUGGCGGCGUGCUUAACACAUGCAAGUCGAACGAAGCACCUUGAUUUGAUUCUUCGGAUGAAGAUCUUGGUGACUGAGUGGCGGACGGGUGAGUAACGCGUGGGUAACCUGCCUCAUACAGGGGGAUAACAGUUAGAAAUGACUGCUAAUACCGCAUAAGACCACAGCACCGCAUGGUGCAGGGGUAAAAACUCCGGUGGUAUGAGAUGGACCCGCGUCUGAUUAGGUAGUUGGUGGGGUAACGGCCUACCAAGCCGACGAUCAGUAGCCGCCCUGGGAGAGUGACCGUGCGCAUAGGGACUGAGAACGGGCCCAAACUCCUACGGGAGGCAGCAGUGGGGAAUAUUGCACAAUGGUGGAAACCCUAAUGCAGCGACGCCGCGUGGGCGAUGAAGUAUUUCGGUAUGUAAAGCUCUAUCAGCAGGGAAGAAAAUGACGGUACCUGACUAAGAAGCACCGGCUAAAUACGUGCCAGCCGCCGCUGUAACAC
rnacentral:rRNA from 1 species